rnacentral:rRNA from 1 species
GGGAUUAGUGGCGAACGGGUGAGUAACACGUGAGUAACCUGCCCUUAACUCUGGGAUAAGCCUUGGAAACGGGGUCUAAUACUGGAUAUUGACUUUACCUCGCAUGGGGUUUGGUUGAAAGAUUUAUUGGUUUUGGAUGGACUCGCGGCCUAUCAGCUUGUUGGUGAGGUAAUGGCUCACCAAGGCGACGACGGGUAGCCGGCCUGAGAGGGUGACCGGCCACACUGGGACUGAGACACGGCCCAGACUCCUACGGGAGGCAGCAGUGGGGAAUAUUGCACAAUGGGCGAAAGCCUGAUGCAGCGACGCCGCGUGAGGGAUGACGGCCUUCGGGUUGUAAACCUCUUUCAGUAGGGAACAAGGCCAGCAUUUUUGUUGGUUGAGGGUACUUGCAGAAGAAGCGCCGGCUAACUACGUGCCAGCAGCCGCGGUAAUACGUAGGGCGCAAGCGUUAUCCGGAAUUAUUGGGCGUAAAGAGCUCGUAGGCGGUUUGUCGCGUCUGCCGUGAAAGUCCGGGGCUCAACUCCGGAUCUGCGGUGGGUACGGGCAGACUAGAGUGAUGUAGGGGAGACUGGAAUUCCUGGUGUAGCGGUGAAAUGCGCAGAUAUCAGGAGGAACACCGAUGGCGAAGGCAGGUCUCUGGGCAUUAACUGACGCUGAGGAGCGAAAGCAUGGGGAGCGAACAGGAUUAGAUACCCUGGUAGUCCAUGCCGUAAACGUUGGGCACUAGGUGUGGGGGACAUUCCACGUUUUCCGCGCCGUAGCUAACGCAUUAAGUGCCCCGCCUGGGGAGUACGGCCGCAAGGCUAAAACUCAAAGGAAUUGACGGGGGCCCGCACAAGCGGCGGAGCAUGCGGAUUAAUUCGAUGCAACGCGAAGAACCUUACCAAGGCUUGACAUGAACUGGAAAU